ensembl:lncRNA
CGCUUCUGCAUCUGUAAUGUGCCUUAGCAUCCUGUAUGGUGCAUUUGAAGUGUGAGACAAUACAUUUGUGGCUGCAGCUUGUGGCAUUAGUUCCUGACUGGUACUACGGUGGCUGGCUGAGCUGAAUUCAGGGUGGAAAACCACCUUGUCUUUCUGAACAGAGGUAGCAAUUAUGGUAAUCAUAUCGCUUCAACAUUUUUUUUUCCCCAUAUAUGAAGAAAGGGAUGUGAGCCAACAAGGGCUGUAGCUUCUUCCCUUCAAAUCCUGCUUUGGAAUAGAAAGACUCCAGACAUGAUAAGAUUUCCAGCUUUGUAUGUUUUCUCCUUUCAGUGGUGCAUUACACAUCCACCACAAUUCUUCACUUCUACUGUCACUUUUAUGGCAAUGCUUUCCUUCUCCUCUUCAGUCAUGUGCAGGCUGAACCUCCAUGUCACAAGCAGCCCAACCCCUCUUUUAUGUGGCUCCUCUUUCCUGUGUGCAGUCCUGGAUUACAUGGUUAAGAGAAAAAAUAUUUCACCUACAAAAUGUAUAAGAGGGCUGUCAAAAAGCUGCAGAGUUACACCCCUGGAGGAGGGAGGAGUGUGGCUCUCCAUUGUUACCAGUCUACUUCAACUUCCCAGAUGAAAGAAACCCCUAGACAGGAAGAAGUCUAGCAUGCUCAGCAGAUUGAGUUCUCCUCUACUACUCUGGUUGAAGUGGAUAUAUUCCAUCUACUCGUAUUUAUUUCCUAUUGCAAAACCAGCACACUCCAUAUGGCAAUCUGAUGGACACAUUGGCCCAGCGCCUGCAUUUCAAAAAGGAUGCUGAAAACCAUUGAAAACCAUUCAGAAGGAAGAUAAUAGAAUGAUCUGAAGUAUAUGUUUGAGGUACUACAGAGAGGUAGAAUUUAGAAACUAAGAUUUGGCUAAUUCAGACUAACAAAAAGUAGAGCUUUUAAUCUUACAAGAUAAUUAACAUUUGUAUUGAUUUACUUGGGAAUGUGGUACAUGUUCAGGUAUCCAAAGCCAACAAAUCAGCAUUUGGUGUCUCACUAUGAGAUCUCUAACAGAUUAAAUAGAAUUUAAUACACUAAUUAGUGACUUUCAAUAAAAGGAACUCAAAAUGUAGCGCCGUGAAGCCCUUCUGGGUAUGAAUGUAUGAAUUUAUAUCAUUCUUUAAACUGUCUGAAAGCCAUGUUCAUACAGUGUCUAUUCCAAUAUUCAUACAAGAAGCCACAAUCUCAUUCUAUAUGGCCAGACAGGUGCCUAGCAGAGCUGGCGCCCAGCCUCCAGGCACAACUGCAAUAGAAAACAAGUAACAGAUGCUGAUGAUCAUUUCUGGGAUUUGUUUUCACCAGAAACUCAAGAAGUCCUAGAGGAGUUCCACUAAUUAAUAUUACUUAAAGUACAACAUUCAGCAUAGAGAGAAAAAUUCAUCUAAUACAGUAUUAUCAGCCACUUUUAUUUUAAAAAGGUCUUCUGCAGCAUCCCCAGCACAUUCUCACACUUCCCCCUGAGACUCCCAGGAAAUCAGAAGCCCAGAGAAUUCAUUGCAUCUCACAAUAUACAAUUUCAAAAUUCAACAAUUCAUUGCUUAAGGAACCAAAGUCCUAUAGCCAUGUUGUGGUAAUGCGUUCCACAAGUGUUCCAGGUCCAUAUGAGCACAAUGUAAGAUUGCCUAAGUUAUCUUUUUACGAUGGGUGAGAAGAGAGUAAGCUUUUGUACAACUAUUUCAGGGGUAAACAUGUGAGUAAAGCCAGACAAUGUGGUGGCUUUUGAAGACACCUGUGAGAACUGAGCAUCUCAAUUUUAUAUCACUUCUGCAGACUUACUACUUGGAAAAUCCCAGUUGUGUAUGCUGAAAAACUCAUAUUCUUCUGACUACUCACAGCAAUAAGAACACUUUGCAUUCUGUACAAUUCAUUCAUGAUCUUAUUUGCAUGGGAAGGUGUGAGGAAGUCUAACAGAGAAACUGUAUACUGUUGGAUGCAUGCAGCCCUCAAAAUACCACUGUUAUGUAUUCAAAUACUGAAAAUAUUUGACAUCUUUUCUGUCAUUUGACUGAGAGAUUUAGCUCACUUAAAACAUUUGAGCAGAUAUUUUGUUUAUGUCAAGGAAGAUUAUGCCUUAAGAAGUAAAAAGUAUGAAGAACCAAUAAUCUGAAGGCUAUUUGUGAAACCUAGUCACAUUUAUGUUUAUGUUUUUUUCUCUGUCAAUUGAUAUGGGGAUGUUAUGCAGCAUUUCAAGACUGCAGAUAAUUGAAGGGAAAUAACCACAAUAAUGAAAUCACUGCUGGAUCAAGAUCUGAUAGGUGACAAAUCAAUUUAUUUAUGAUACUUUCUUUGUCAUACUGAACCAUUUUAUUGCUCAGUGGAAACCUC